GAUGAACGCUGGCGGCGUGCCUAAUACAUGCAAGUCGAGCGAACAGACGAGGAGCUUGCUCCUCUGACGUUAGCGGCGGACGGGUGAGUAACACGUGGAUAACCUACCUAUAAGACUGGGAUAACUUCGGGAAACCGGAGCUAAUACCGGAUAAUAUAUUGAACCGCAUGGUUCAAUAGUGAAAGACGGUUUUGCUGUCCCUUAUAGAUGGAUCCGCGCCGCAUUAGCUAGUUGGUAAGGUAACGGCUUACCAAGGCAACGAUGCGUAGCCGACCUGAGAGGGUGAUCGGCCACACUGGAACUGAGACACGGUCCAGACUCCUACGGGAGGCAGCAGUAGGGAAUCUUGCGCAAUGGGCGAAAGCCUGACGGAGCAACGCCGCGUGAGUGAUGAAGGUCUUCGGAUCGUAAAACUCUGUUAUUAGGGAAGAACAAAUGUGUAAGUAACUAUGCACGUCUUGACGGUACCUAAUCAGAAAGCCACGGCUAACUACGUG
rnacentral:rRNA from 1 species